rnacentral:rRNA from 1 species
UACGUAGGGGGCUAGCGUUGUCCGGAAUCAUUGGGCGUAAAGCGCGCGUAGGCGGCUGGAUAAGUCCGGUGUGAAAGUCAAAGGCUCAACCUUUGAAUGCCGCUGGAAACUGUCUGGCUCGAGUCCGGGAGGGGCGAGUGGAAUUCCUGGUGUAGCGGUGAAAUGCGCAGAUAUCAGGAGGAACACCAAUGGCGAAGGCAGCUCGCUGGAACGGUACUGACGCUGAGGCGCGAAAGCGUGGGGAGCGAACAGG